rnacentral:rRNA from 1 species
UACGUAGGGGGCUAGCGUUGUCCGGAAUCAUUGGGCGUAAAGCGCGCGUAGGCGGCCCGGUAAGUCCGCAGUAAAAGUCAAAGGCUCAACCUUUGAAUGUCAGUGGAUACUGCCGGGCUAGAGUCCGGAAGAGGCGAGUGGAACUCCUGGUGUAGCGGUGGAAUGCGCAGAUAUCAGGAAGAACACCAACGGCGAAGGCAGCUCGCUAGGACGGUACUGACGCUGAGACGCGAAAGCGUGGGGAGCGAACAGG